rnacentral:rRNA from 1 species
AUGAACGCUAGCGACAGGCUUAACACAUGCAAGUCGAGGGGCAGCGGGGGUAGCGAUACCCGCCGGCGACCGGCGCACGGGUGAGUAACGCGUAUGCAACUUGCCUAUCAGAGGGGGAUAACCCGGCGAAAGUCGGACUAAUACCGCAUGAAGCAGGGGCCCCGCAUGGGGGUAUUUGCUAAAGAUUCAUCGCUGAUAGAUAGGCAUGCGUUCCAUUAGGCAGUUGGCGGGGUAACGGCCCACCAAACCGACGAUGGAUAGGGGUUCUGAGAGGAAGGUCCCCCACAUUGGUACUGAGACACGGACCAAACUCCUACGGGAGGCAGCAGUGAGGAAUAUUGGUCAAUGGCCGAGAGGCUGAACCAGCCAAGUCGCGUGAGGGAUGAAGGUUCUAUGGAUCGUAAACCUCUUUUAUAAGGGAAUAAAGUGCGGGACGUGUCCCGUUUUGUAUGUACCUUAUGAAUAAGGAUCGGCUAACUCCGUGCCAGCAGCCGCGGUAAUACGGAGGAUCCGAGCGUUAUCCGGAUUUAUUGGGUUUAAAGGGUGCGUAGGCGGCCUUUUAAGUCAGCGGUGAAAGUCUGUGGCUCAACCAUAGAAUUGCCGUUGAAACUGGGGGGCUUGAGUAUGUUUGAGGCAGGCGGAAUGCGUGGUGUAGCGGUGAAAUGCUUAGAUAUCACGCAGAACCCCGAUUGCGAAGGCAGCCUGCCAAGCCAUUACUGACGCUGAUGCACGAAAGCGUGGGGAUCAAACAGGAUUAGAUACCCUGGUAGUCCACGCAGUAAACGAUGAUCACUAGCUGUUUGCGAUACAUUGUAAGCGGCACAGCGAAAGCGUUAAGUGAUCCACCUGGGGAGUACGCCGGCAACGGUGAAACUCAAAGGAAUUGACGGGGGCCCGCACAAGCGGAGGAACAUGUGGUUUAAUUCGAUGAUACGCGAGGAACCUUACCCGGGUUUGAACGCAUUCGGACCGAGGUGGAAACACCUUUUCUAGCAAUAGCCGUUUGCGAGGUGCUGCAUGGUUGUCGUCAGCUCGUGCCGUGAGGUGUCGGCUUAAGUGCCAUAACGAGCGCAACCCUUGCCACUAGUUACUAACAGGUAAAGCUGAGGACUCUGGUGUGACUUCCAGCGUAAGCUGCGAGGAAGGCGGGGAUGACGUCAAAUCAGCACGGCCCUUACAUCCGGGGCGACACACGUGUUACAAUGGCGUGGACAAAGGGAAGCCACCUGGCGACAGGGAGCGAAUCCCCAAACCACGUCUCAGUUCGGAUCGGAGUCUGCAACCCGACUCCGUGAAGCUGGAUUCGCUAGUAAUCGCGCAUCAGCCAUGGCGCGGUGAAUACGUUCCCGGGCCUUGUACACACCGCCCGUCAAGCCAUGGGAGCCGGGGGUACCUGAAGUCCGUAACCGAAAGGAUCGGCCUAGGGUAAAACUGGUGACUGGGGCU